UCUCCUGUAGCUCAGUGGUAGAGCGUCCGACCGGUGUACGGAAAGUCAUACGUUCGACUAUGGCUAUCGGGGAGUGGAGAA